CAGACUUUUCUCUCAAGCUGCCCGGAUCCCCCUGCUGCCGCAUUUCCAAUGCAGAGGAGCGGGCAGGGCUUCGGGCUGGCCAUCUGCACGCGGAGAUUGACAGCGGCCCCGGAAGGUUGAAAAGGAAGACAGGAGUUUCUGGAUGUACCUGUCAAGACUAAAUGAUUGUUCAUUUCCUGUGAAUUGGGAAUAACGUAAUCACAUGCAGCUGGGGAGCUAGGCUGUGUUUCUUGCUUUUUCCUCUUCCAGAAGCUGGGUCCCUUACCAGCUGGGAAAUAUUACUGUAUGAACGUGCUGAAAAACUUAAGGGAAAUGAAAAGAACAACAACAUUCUAGAUGUCAGCAAUCAGUUUGAUGGUCUUACCUGUACCAACCUGAGAGGAUUUUAAUAGCAAAAGUUUGUAAAGAUUAAUUUAAUUUAAACUGAGUUCUUAGAUUAAAAAAAAAAAAAAAAGCAAGUGUUUACAGAGUCACAAAAAUCUUUGUCUAGGAUUGAGCUGAUUAGAAUUAACCCUGUCACAAUUACACACGCCAAUGACUGGGUAAGUUUGAGAGAAACAAUUUAAAAUAAAGUAUUUUAACCCAAGAGAAAUGGAUUAGUAGGAAUCAAAGUAUCUGUCCUUUGCUAAUGCAGUCAUUACCUGGGGGAAAAAAAAACCCACAUAAAUUCAAUGCUGAGUUUAAAAUUGGAAUUCAGCAAAAUGUAAUCUCGGGCACUUAUUUUAAAUGCACGCUUCUAUCUUUUAGUAUAAUAAAUUUUGUUCGGGGUUUCAUUAGCCAUUACACUAUACAUUGUGAUUAUGUCAGAUAUUAGAUGCUGAGAAAUGGAGCCAACAUCUCACUUCAGGUGGCUCCUGUUCCAACUCAUCAUCAGAAUUAAUUAAAGAAAGAGGAGGUGGGAUGGGGAGCAGGAGAAAUGUUUGGAUUAGUCAGCUCACCGUUUUUUCCUGGGAAGGUGAGGAAUGGAAGGAGAGAGAGGCCAAGGCAGAAGGAAAGUCUCUGUUGGGAUGCCUGAGUGGCUCAGUCGGUUAAGUGUCUGACUCUUAAUUUCCACUCAGGUCAUGAUCUUGCAGUUCAUGAGUUCGAGCCCUACAUGGGGCUCCACGCUGGCAGUGCAGAGCCUGCUGUGAGUCUCUCUCUCCUGCUCUCUCUCAAAAUAAAUAAAUAAACUUUAAAAAAGAAGAAGAAGAGGGGCGCCUGGGUGGCUCAGUACAGUUUAGCAUCCGACUUUGGCUCAGGUCACGAUCUCACCAUCGUGAGUUCAAGCCCCACAUCGGGCUCUGUGCUGACAGCUCAGAGCCUGGAGCCUGCUUUGGAUUCUCUCUCUCUCUCUCUCUCUCUCUCUCUCUCUCUCUGCCCCGCCCCUGUUUGCACUCUGUCUCUGAAUCUGUCUCUCUCUCAAAAAUAAAUACAUUAAAAAAAAUAAAAAUAAAAAAAGAAGAAGAAAAUUCUCUGCCAAUGGAAUCUUAUGGCAUCACUGCCCAUCCUACCCAGACUUGUGCUUGGAAGAAAUUUGGGGCCUCAGGGGAAUGUGAGGGGCUACAGUCACCCUGGAUCACCAUGUGCAUGUGCAUGUGGUUGUCACAUUUGGCUAGGCAUCAGAAUUACUGGGAGAAUUUUUAAAAAUAGAAAACAACUGGGUCCCAUCCAGUCCUGGGAUAAAGCUCACGCAUGACAUCAUUUUUGUUCUUUGUUUUUUGUUUUUUUUUUUUUAAUGUAUGUUUUUAACACACCCAAGCCUACAAUUGAUUCUGAAUGCUGAGCCAACAUUGAAAACCAGGGGUAGGCGAUAGUUGGAAAUUAACUAAAAGGUGAAUUUGACAAUAUUGCACCUUAUCUAAGUCUCUUUCAUAUUGUUUGAAUCCAGAGAACUGCCUUUUCUGACGUCUACCAAACACAAGAUGAUGAGGAUGACAAUAAUAAAAAAUAUCAAUGCUGCUGAAGCUCCUUGGGGACUCUUCAGAAUGACACAGCACUUACACAUCCAUUAGGUCAUUUCUUUUCCCUCUUCUCUCUCUUAGUGCUUUGAGGCCAGCAGUGAGAGCAUUGUCACUCCAUCUCACAGUUCACUUAUUUAUUUUGAGAGACAGAGAGAGCGAACAAGAGAGGGGCAGAGAGAGAAGGAGAGAAAGAAAGACUCCCAAGCAGGCUCCACACUGUCAGUGCAGAGCCCCAUGAAAGGCUCCAACUCAAGAACCGUGAGAUCAAGACCCGAGCCGAGAUCAAGAGUCGGAAGCUUAACCGACUGAGCUACCCAGGUGUCUUGUGUUUUGUUUUCACCUUAAAGAGUCGGCUUAUAUCCAGCAUGUACAAUAGAUAUGAUAGAUUUUUGCCUUUCUGUUUUACACAAGUCCUUUUCUGAAGCUUACACAUGUCUCCCUUGUCCAUGUCGUUGCUUCCUGGGAUUCAAGAGAGAAGAGAUCGUGAGGAGAAAAAGACACAGUGGGACGGUAGACGGCAGGUUGCCCCUGGCAGGCCGGGUGGAGCAGGCAGCUGUGCAGGGCUCCUGCCUGCCAGCUUCUUUCACAUCAAGAGAAGCAAAUGGCCCCCAGGUGAAGGAUGGAAGAAGCAGCUGAGAAAUCUUCCUGUCAUAUUUGGGUUUAUUUCCCUGCCGCCUGAGUAAGCUUUCAGUAACCUUGGUCUUUCGAUUCAACUAUUUUGAUGGAAAGAAAUAACGAUCAUGGCAACUGUGGCUGAUGGAUGUUAAGAGCUGGACCUUACCCUUUCAGGGGAAGACUGCUUGAGAAUGGACUUGAGGACAAAGGCGUUACAAAGCAUGGCACCGGAAGCUAUGUUUUUGCUGAUUCGACUUACCUUAUUAACAAAAUCAUUUCACGUUUUAUGUGAACAUAAACAAAACUUCCUAGGUAAUCUUUGAAGGUGUUGGAUGCUGUAGUAGCUACCACUGUGGCAAAAGGGCAGUGUUGAAGUGUAAUCAAUCUCCCAGAUAAUAAUAUUUUACUGAUCAAUAACUUAUUGUACUUACAGGUUUGCCCCAUCAUAUAAAAAUAUAUUUAUAAAAAGUAUCACCCAGACUUUAAAUUAGUAGACUGACUGUUGCUUUAAUCAUCUUUUAUCUUCUACAUGUGUGAAACUAAAAGAUUGAUGGUGUUUUAGUUAUGUCUACAUCACAUCUGAUUUCACAAUAGCCUGUGGAGAAACCUAUUUUUGAUAGUAAUAAAAAAGGAUUUCGUAUAGAGUUGCAUAUAUGGAACUUAGCUAGUUUUUUAAACCAGGUAUGUAGAGCUACUUUCUGGGAUAGGAAUCACAAAUGGGUUUCAUCCGAGCACGAACUGGGCAGUUCACAGAAGUGGCAUCCUGAGUAAGCUGGUCUGGGCUCAGCAAACGUGUGUGCGAGAUGGAUUAGUGAUGUCUGCCAUGGAAGUACAAGGUCCUGGUGCCAUCUGUGUGCCAUCUCUGCCAUGGGAGGAAAGGGAAAAUACUGAAAUAUGUAGCAAAUGUGUAUUUCACUAUGCGCAAAGAUGCAUAAAGAAUUCCUCUGAUGACACAGUUUUUGCCAGAGCAAAGACUCAAUCGAUAACUUCAAAUAGUGUUAGAUUUCAGAGUAUUAUUAAACAUACUUAAUGCAUAUCUGGGUGUCUAAAAGAGUAAGGAUUAUUCAUUUUUCUCAACAUGUUACAAUUGUUAUGUGAAAUUCUGGAAAUUAAGUCUGUCAUCAUUAUGGUAGUGAAUAUCAGUCAGAAUCUUCCAAUUAUGUAAGCAACUCACAAAUGAGUCUUUUUCCUUGAAUUCCAUCAGCACUGAGGUACACUGCAGCCUGAUUAUUUUCAUUAGUGUAGCUUUCAUCGCACUCAAGGAAAAUGCCAUUGUUUGGUGAUUAGGACGCCCAUGGGGAAGUCAUAAAGUCUGUCAUAUUCCUAAGUUCCAUCUAACAGUAUCAGUGAGGAUACAACUCUAGCAUAGUCAUUUAUUUCCUGCUAAAGGUAAUAUCAAUGGAAAAGCAAAGUGGGGUUAUCCCCCUGGAGAGACCAUGAGUUUAAGAUGAUUAAUGUUGUAAAGAAAUAGCUUUCUUAUUGAAUAAAUGGCCUUUUCAUCAGAUCGUUUUAAAUUGCAAAAUUUAAUUUCAGAUAGAAGAAAACAGUCCUCAAUUAUACUGCAAAUAAUGACAUAU